rnacentral:SRP_RNA from 1 species
GCCAGUCGCUAUGGCACGUGUCUGUAGUCGCAGCUACUCGGGAGGCUGAGGUGGGAGGAUUGCUUGAGUCCAGAAGUUCUGGGCUGUAGUGUGCUAUGCCGAUCGGGUGUCCACCCUAAGUUCAGCAUCAAUAUAGUGACUUCCUGAGAGCAGGUGACCACCAGGUUGCCUAAGGAGGGGUGAACCGGCCCAGGUCAGAAACGGGGCAGGUCAAAACUCCCGUGCUGAUCAGUAUUGGGAUCAUGUCUGUGAAUAGCCACUACCCUCCAGCCUGGGCAACAUAGUGAGACCUGUCUUU